ACAUAGACCCGAUUAGAGUGAACAUCCCGAUUUUUCAUCGGGAUAAAACGGAAAGCGGGAAGAAAC
rnacentral:misc_RNA from 1 species